AAAGCUCGUAGUUGAAUUUCGGGAUUGACACAUCGGUCGUGCCUUAAGGGGUAUGAACUGGUGUAGUCAAUUUCUCACCUUCUGGAGAACCGCGAUGCCCUUAAUUGGGUGUCACGGGGAACCAGGACCUUUACUUUGAAAAAAUUAGAGUGCUUAAAGCAGGCAUUUUGCUUGAAUACAUUAGCAUGGAAUAAUAAAAUAGGACGGCAUGAUUCUAUUUUGUUGGUUUCUAGGAUCACCGUAAUGAUUAAUAGGGAUAGUUGGGGGCAUUAGUAUUCAAUUGUCAGAGGUGAAAUUCUUGGAUUUAUUGAAGACUAACUACUGCGAAAGCAUUUGCCAAGGAUGUUUUCAUUAAUCAAGAACGAAAGUUAGGGGAUCGAAGACGAUCAGAUACCGUCGUAGUCUUAACCAUAAACUAUGCCGACUAGGAAUCAGACGAUGUUAAUUUUUUAAUGACUCGUUCGGCACCUU
rnacentral:rRNA from 1 species